UAGGGAAUCUUCCGCAAUGGGCGAAAGCCUGACGGAGCAACGCCGCGUGAGUGAUGAAGGUCUUCGGAUCGUAAAACUCUGUUAUUAGGGAAGAACAAAUGUGUAAGUAACUAUGCACGUCUUGACGGUACCUAAUCAGAAAGCCACGGCUAACUACGUGCCAGCAGCCGCGGUAAUACGUAGGUGGCAAGCGUUAUCCGGAAUUAUUGGGCGUAAAGCGCGCGUAGGCGGUUUUUUAAGUCUGAUGUGAAAGCCCACAGCUCAACCGUGGAGGGUCAUUGGAAACUGGAAAACUUGAGUGCAGAAGAGGAAAGUGGAAUUCCAUGUGUAGCGGUGAAAUGCGCAGAGAUAUGGAGGAACACCAGUGGCGAAGGCGACUUUCUGGUCUGUAACUGACGCUGAUGUGCGAAAGCGUGGGGAUCAAACAGG
rnacentral:rRNA from 1 species